rnacentral:rRNA from 1 species
AUGGCGUUAGUACGUGGUCUUUGGUUGCCAAGUAGUUUGGACAUGAUGACAGGGCCAAUUUGGCCAUCUAUUGAGGCCGAAAAUUUUGAGUUGAGGCCUGGACUUAUUGCUCUCAUCUUGCAGAAUCAGUUUAGAGGAUUACUCAAUGAAGACCCUCAUGAGCACAUUAGUAAUGUUCUGGAGUAUGCUAAUACAGUCCAGUAUCAUGGCGUUUCCCAAGAUACUAUCAAGUGUAUGUUGUUCACAUUCUCUCUCAGAGAUGCUGCUAAGGACUGGUACUAUUCUUUGCCAUCAAGAUCAUACACUUGGGGUGAUAUUUCACAAGCUUUCCUGCAUAGAUAUUUUCCACUUUACAAGCAAGCUGCAAUUCGUGACCAGAUCCUCAGUUUUGCGCAAGAUGGUAGUGAGAGCUUGUAUGCAACUUGGGAGAGAUAUAAGUAUUUGCUUAGAAAAUGUCCUAAUCAUGGGCAAAAGGAUUGGUUAGUGCUUCAGAUAUUCUAUAGAGGGAUGACACAUGCUUCAAGAGAUCUUAUUGAUAUGUCAGCUGGUGGAACAAUCAUGAACAAGACCGUCGAGGGUGCAAUUAUUCUCAUUGAGAGCAUUGCCUUCCACCAAAUGCAAUCGGGUUAUGAAAGGCCUAGUUCAAAUCCGAAGGUUGCAAGCCUCGUGCAAUCAGAAGCUGUGUGUUCCAUAAGUGAACAGAAAUCAUCCAUGGUGCCUAAUAUUCAAAACCAACAUGUGUCAUUCCGGGGACAACAACAUUUUAGAACUGAAUUAGAUCCUCCAUAUAGAAAGAUUGAUCUUACUUCAAUUAUCCUUGAUGAUGAUUAUGAUAUUUUUCAAGAUGAUGAAACUACUGCAGAUCAGAUGGAAACCACAGUAGCAGAUCGAAUACCUUAUGGCAAUGAAACUGUCCAGAAUGAGUCAAAGUUGCAAGAAGAUGUUUAUGAGGAACCUAAUCUGAUUGAUGCUAAGUUGAGACAGCAAGAUAUGGAGAAAUUCACUUGUGUUAGUCAACUAUGUGACUGGUGGAAUUUAGUCGUGUCACCAAUUGCCCACACUUGUGUUACAACUGUAUCUGGGAUAUUUGUCAAGAAGAAAUCUUUAGCUCCACCGGUGGUUGCCUCUAUCUCAGUUAAAGAGAGUAUCUCAGAGAAGAAUAGUGAAGAUGAGAUUCCAACUCCUGCACAUACAUCUAAGCAAGUCGGAGACAUUCCAAGGAGAGAGAUACAAGAGGUUGAGUCAAAUUUAGAAGAGUUGAUACUUCAAUAUCCUGAGAAGAUCCCACGUGUUGCUGAGCUGCAUGACUGGUGGAAGUCAUCAGUGUCAUUGUUGAAACUUAGCAGUGAUGGUGAUGAGGAGAAUAUUGCUCAGAAAGACAGCGAGACUCAAUUAGGUGUUGCUGGUAUUAGCACCAUAGAAGAUCCAGAGGAAGAGAGAUCUCAACUAGAAGAAGAAAUACUCGAAGACGAGGAACAAGAUGAUCUAGAGCUCGAACAACCAAGUGAUCAAGUUGAAGAUUCAUCAUCUACUACUCCUGAAGAAGUAGAAGAAGCUGUUGUAGUUGAAGAUGAAGAACCAGAAAUUCAAUUGCCUAUCAUCAUACAAGAGUGUGAGAUUGCAGGUUUAUCUAAUCCUCUCAAUGGCAUGUCCCCAUAUGAAUUGUUUGCUACUACCUUGCAUUGCAUGAUGCCAUCUGUUAAAGUAGAUUUGAAAAAGUUCGAGGUGACAUUCCUUGGGACCCUGGUGGACUCAGAGCAUGGGGAUGAGGAGAAGCAAGGGGGCACACACGAGGAAGGGAGAAGCUGGAGCAGGCAUGAGGAUAGAGAAGCAAAAGGAGAGGAGCUGCAGUUGGUGUAUACCAUGUUCUCGGGAUCGGUGAAAAGUGCGCAAAGGCACUAUAAUCUCCAAGAUUCGGACGAAUUGGCCAUUGAGAAGAGAGAAGGGCAGGAAAGAGGUGAAGAAAGGGACCUGAGCAUGAAGGAAAGAAGAAACCGGGGGCCAAAACUAAAGAUGGAGGGGAUCGACUUGGGAAGAAAGAAGGAAAGGAGGAGGGCCAAAUUGCAAUAUGGGCUGAUCAACCGUGGGGUCAAAAUCCCUAGAUGCCUUCAUCCCCAAAGGAGCCCGGCAUCUCCAUCUCUCUCCCCCUCACCACUUCUUCUCCCACCUUCGGCCGCCAUCACGGCCAGGCCAUCGUGGCGGCGCGCCUCCGGACUUUGCUGCUCCACCAGCACCUUCACCCACCAGCACCACAUCAUCCAGCCACCACUCCACUUCGUCGCCGCGCCUGGCGCGCCCGACCAGACAGGUGUCUGGUUCCCCGCGCCACCUGUUGCUGCUCUCUCCCUCUCCGCUGCUCCUCCCCUCGUCUCCACUUCCUCUGCUUCUCUUCUUCUUCUCCUAACCCUGCUAUUGCUCUUCUUCUUCUCUCAAUGCUCCUGCUGCUCCUUCUACUUGCAUCCCCUUGCUGUUGUUGCCUCAACCUGCCGCUUCUUCUCCAAUCCCCACGCUGCUCCUAUUCCCUUUCCUUGCUGGUGUUCCUUUACUGAAGAAAACAACCUACCGUUGUUCUUUACUUGUUGCUGA